UCCGAAGGGGGCUAGCGUUGUUCGGAAUUACUGGGCGUAAAGGGCGCGUAGGCGGCGUGUCCAGUCAGGCGUGAAAGCCCCGGGCUCAACCUGGGAACCGCGCUUGAGACUGGCAUGCUCGAGUUCGGGAGAGGAUGGUGGAAUUCCCAGUGUAGAGGUGAAAUUCGUAGAUAUUGGGAAGAACACCGAUGGCGAAGGCAGCCAUCUGGACCGACACUGACGCUGAGGCGCGAAAGCGUGGGGAGCAAACAGG
rnacentral:rRNA from 1 species